rnacentral:rRNA from 1 species
AUUGAACGCUGGCGGCAGGCCUAACACAUGCAAGUCGAACGAGCGGCGGACGGGUGAGUAAUGUCUGGGAAACUGCCCGAUGGAGGGGGAUAACUACUGGAAACGGUAGCUAAUACCGCAUACCAUCAGAUAUACCCAUAUGGGAUUAGCUUGUUGGUGGGGUAACGGCUCACCAAGGCGACGAUCCCUAGCUGGUCUGAGAGGAUGACCAGCCACACUGGGACUGAGACACGGCCCAGACUCCUACGGGAGGCAGCAGUGGGGAAUAUUGCACAAUGGGCGCAAGCCUGAUGCAGCCAUGCCGCGUGUAUGAAGAAGGCCUUAGGGUUGUAAAGUACUUUCAGCGGGGAGGCGUUACCCGCAGAAGAAGCACCGGCUAACUCCGUGCCAGCAGCCGCGGUAAUUC